UGCACUGUGUUGGGGGGGGGGGUCCGUUUGAUUCCACUGAGAAGAAAGGUUGGGCUGGGAAUUGCAAAUGGUGAUUAUGACGUUGGACAAAUCACGGAGCACCCAAUUAUGUCUUCCAAGGCCUGACCCAAAAUAAGCAAGUAUCUUACCACAAAAUAUAGGUUGUGCUGAACUUCUCAUUACAAAAUGCCAGCUCUGGGGGGGGGGGGGAACGCGUCGAUCAUAUUUCUGUUUUAUGGCUCCGUCAUUCAU